AGGUGCUGCAUGGCUGUCGUCAGCUCGUGUCGUGAGAUGUGGGUUAAGUCCCGUAACGAGCGCAACCCUUGUCCUUAGUUACCAGCACGUUAUGGUGGGCACUCUAAGGAGACUGCCGGUGACAAACCGGAGGAAGGUGGGGGAUGACGUCAAGUCAUCAUGGCCCUUACGGCCUGGGCUACACACGUGCUACAAUGGUCGGUACAAAGGGUUGCCAAGCCGCGAGGUGGAGCUAAUCCCAUAAAACCGAUCGUAGUCCGGAUCGCAGUCUGCAACUCGACUGCGUGAAGUCGGAAUCGCUAGUAAUCGUGAAUCAGAAUGUCACGGUGAAUACGUUCCCGGGCCUU
rnacentral:rRNA from 1 species